AUUGAACGCUGGCGGCAUGCCUUACACAUGCAAGUCGAACGGCAGCGGGGGAAAAGCGUGCUUUUCCUGCCGGCGAGUGGCGAACGGGUGAGUAAUCCAUCGGAACGUGCCCUGUAGUGGGGGAUAACUAGUCGAAAGAUUAGCUAAUACCGCAUGCGACCUGAGGGUGAAAGUGGGGGACCGCAAGGCCUCAUGCUAUAGGAGCGGCCGAUGUCUGAUUAGCUGGUUGGUGGGGUAAAGGCCUACCAAGGCGACGAUCAGUAGCUGGUCUGAGAGGACGAUCAGCCACACUGGGACUGAGACACGGCCCAGACUCCUACGGGAGGCAGCAGUGGGGAAUUUUGGACAAUGGGCGAAAGCCUGAUCCAGCAAUGCCGCGUGUGUGAAGAAGGCCUUCGGGCUGUAAAGCACUUUUGUCCGGAAAGAAAUGGCUCUGGUUAAUACCUGGGGUCGAUGACGGUACCGGAAGAAUAAGGACCGGCUAACUACGUGCCAGCAGCCGCCGCAG
rnacentral:rRNA from 1 species